CGCUAGCUACAGGCUUAACACAUGCAAGUCGAGGGGCAGCAUGGUCUUAGCUUGCUAAGACUGAUGGCGACCGGCGCACGGGUGAGUAACACGUAUCCAACCUGCCGUCUACCCUUGGACAGCCUUCUGAAAGGAAGAUUAAUACAAGAUGGCAUCAUGAGUCCACAUGUUCACAUGAUUAAAGGUAUUCCGGUAGACGAUGGGGAUGCGUUCCAUUAGAUAGUAGGCGGGGUAACGGCCCACCUAGUCUUCGAUGGAUAGGGGUUCUGAGAGGAAGGUCCCCCACAUUGGAACUGAGACACGGUCCAAACUCCUACGGGAGGCAGCAGUGAGGAAUAUUGGUCAAUGGGCGAGAGCCUGAACCAGCCAAGUAGCGUGAAGGAUGACUGCCCUAUGGGUUGUAAACUUCUUUUAUAAAGGAAUAAAGUCGGGUAUGCAUACCCGUUUGCAUGUACUUUAUGAAUAAGGAUCGGCUAACUCCGUGCCAGCAGCCGCGGUAAUACGGAGGAUCCGAGCGUUAUCCGGAUUUAUUGGGUUUAAAGGGAGCGUAGAUGGAUGUUUAAGUCAGUUGUGAAAGUUUGCGGCUCAACCGUAAAAUUGCAGUUGAUACUGGAUAUCUUGAGUGCAGUUGAGGCAGGCGGAAUUCGUGGUGUAGCGGUGAAAUGCUUAGAUAUCACGAAGAACUCCGAUUGCGAAGGCAGCCUGCUAAGCUGCAACUGACAUUGAGGCUCGAAAGUGUGGGUAUCAAACAGGAUUAGAUACCCUGGUAGUCCACACGGUAAACGAUGAAUACUCGCUGUUUGCGAUAUACAGCAAGCGGCCAAGCGAAAGCGUUAAGUAUUCCACCUGGGGAGUACGCCGGCAACGGUGAAACUCAAAGGAAUUGACGGGGGCCCGCACAAGCGGAGGAACAUGUGGUUUAAUUCGAUGAUACGCGAGGAACCUUACCCGGGCUUAAAUUGCAGAUGAAUUACGGUGAAAGCCGUAAGCCGCAAGGCAUCUGUGAAGGUGCUGCAUGGUUGUCGUCAGCUCGUGCCGUGAGGUGUCGGCUUAAGUGCCAUAACGAGCGCAACCCUUGUUGUCAGUUACUAACAGGUCCUGCUGAGGACUCUGACAAGACUGCCAUCGUAAGAUGUGAGGAAGGUGGGGAUGACGUCAAAUCAGCACGGCCCUUACGUCCGGGGCUACACACGUGUUACAAUGGGGGGUACAGAGGGCCGCUACCACGCGAGUGGAUGCCAAUCCCCAAAACCUCUCUCAGUUCGGACUGGAGUCUGCAACCCGACUCCCCGAAGCUGGAUUCGCUAGUAAUCGCGCAUCAGCCACGGCGCGGUGAAUACGUUCCCGGGCCUUGUACACACCGCCCGUCAAGCCAUGGGAGCCGGGGGUACCUGAAGUGCGUAACCGCGAGGAGCGCCCUAGGGUAAAACUGGUGACUGGGGC
rnacentral:rRNA from 1 species